AGAAAAGGGGGAAAACGUUCCUCCCAAGGACU
rnacentral:tRNA from 1 species